rnacentral:lncRNA from 1 species
UCAAAACCUUUCCAACCAUUACUCAUAUGAUCAUGUUUGGAUUUGGAAAAUGGCAUUUUCAAAGAGGAGAAGUUUUUAGUUCAAUUAUGCAUAACACUUCAAAAUUCCAUGUACAAGCAAUUACCAUUCAGAUUACACGUCCAUUUCACUUUAGUAUGAUUUCAUAUUGCAUUUGGCAUUGAAUUUGGGCCUUGUGCAUGAUCAUGCAAGCCCAUG